rnacentral:lncRNA from 1 species
UGUGAUACCCAAAGUAAAAUUUUAUUAACAUCUUUAUUUUAUAAUAUAUAUAUUAUAUUUAUUGAGAUACAUGGUUAUUUUUUAUUUUUUUUUUAACAUUUAAGCCACUCAAAUAGUUGGAUUCGUGCAAUGAGCCAUGCAUGCUGCUUGUGUAUCAUAACAUUUUAAUAUUUCCGGUGCGUUGUUACAGCAAAUACAACGUCUUCCGGUACAUCCAAGGAGACGGACGCAUUUUCUGUCGAAUUCUAAACCAUCUGCAUUUCCCACUAUAUAAGAAAAAAUAGGAUUAAAAUUGCGAAUAUAAUUGUAUAUGCAUAGUUGCAAUGCCUGUCAUGAUAAAAUGAUGGAAAUUUGAAUAUAUUUUAUAUAUGCAUCAUUGCAUUAUACAUACAUUGAUGCAGAGGAACAAGAGAAAUCAUGAUGAGUGUAGGGUUAAGAUUAAAAGUAAAUGGAGGGUCGAGAUCAUUCUGUUUGAAUCCUAUAAGAGAAAGCUGCUAGAGACAAUUCAUUUAUUAUUCCUUUUGAUCAUCUUUCUGAAGAGUGAAGAAUCUCUGAUUGUGUUGCAGGUAAGAGGAGGAUUUGGUGUUUAAUUGAAAAUCCAUUUCCAUUAUCUUUACUUUGAAGUUGCUUAUGUAGAAUUGUUGAAUUAUGUUCUACUUGCGAGUGAAGUACGCGAGUCACAACGUUAUCUUUAUCUAUAAUCUUUGAUUGUGUUGAUUCUUACAGGAUAAGAUGAUGAUUUGUUGUUUAAGCUGUUUCUGUGGAAUUGUCGUUCUAUUAUUGUUCUUUGGAACUUCCAAAAUAGUUUUGAAUUUAUUUAGAUAAUGACGAGUUGAGAAAUAAAUUUGUGAUUGAUGGUUAAUUGAUAUUGUAGAAGAUACGUUCUCGAUAUCUCGUUCGUUCUCUACUCGAUCUCUAUCGCUCUCUCUCUCUCUCUCGCUCACUCGUGUGCUUACGCGAUUAGAAUGUAAAGAAAGUACAAAGACACAAGAUAUUAUAGAGUUCCCUUUAACCCUGGGUACUUCUCUCUUCAGGAUCUCCAUCCUGGAAUUCACUAGAUCAGUUUGUUUGUUACAGAAGAAGAUCUCACGAUACAAUCUUUAAUCAGUUGACAAUGACUUUAUAAAGCGUGAUCUCAGCUGACGCUCAGCUGUAUCUUCAUGGGCCAAAGCAUAAUAUCACCAUACCCAUUAUGUUUCUUCUGUCCCGAGAUUCCUGCGCGCUUUGCUGUCGAUCGAUGUCAAGAUGUGAACAUCGAACGAUUAUUCCUCUUCAAUGUCAACCGAUGGUCGUGUUCGAUGGUCAUCUCCGGGUGCUUACUCCAAAUAUCUCCAAAAAUGCUCCAAAAUCAUCACUUUCCUCCAAAUCACUCAUGAUCCUAUAAAUAUACUAAAUAGACUCUAUAAUAUAAUAAUUAGUAGUUAAAACACUUAUAAACCAUGGGUAAAAGUGGGUCAAAUCCAUGGUCUAUCAACUCCCCCAGACUUACCUUUUUGCUUGUCCUCAAACAAAACAUACAUGUCGUCUCUCUGAAAGUUGAAAACAGCAGGGUCUCACAAAUUUUAAAACUUAGAACCAACACCUUAGAAAGUCCUAGUCUCAGAAGCACACUAUACCAUAUCCUAGUAUAGCAACCAAGUUCAUCUAGUCAACAACUUAGCAAAUCAUGUCUGACAAUCUAUUCUACCAACCACAAUUCUUACAUAAAUAAAGUGUAGGUUUAACCUUGGGGGUAUCGAUCACAUGAUGCAAGGAUGCUCAAACAAGUAUCUGGACCUGCAGGUAAAUAAUAGUUCAUAUCCUCUCUCUCUCUCUCUCUACUAAUUUCUCCCCUAGUCAAAAUCUUCUUAAUUGCAAGAUUAUUGACCAAUGUUGGAUAUGCUUCCAUGAAUCAAGCUUUAAUGGUUUUAGCCAUCAAAUCAUGUUCACUUCUUUUUGACCUAUUUCCUAGAAUUAUUUGUGAAUCAAGCCUUAAUGGUUGUAGCCAUCAAGUCAUGUUCUAAUCCUUUACCUAUAGAAUUCUUAUGAAGCAAGCCUUAAUAGUUGUAGCCACCAAGUCAUGUUCGAUUUUUUUCCUAAAUUUCUCUAUUUCUAAUUAUAAAUAUAAAUAAUAAUAAUUUUUUUUAAUAUAAAAACCUAAAUUCGAAAUUUAAGAGAGAGAUGGUGAUAUUUUUACACAAGGCUUUACCUUCCAGACUUGUUUGAAGAAUCCGAUCUCAUAUAUACCAAACCCCAAGACAAGCAGAGUUGAGCUCAAUUAAGUUGGAGGUCAGCUUUGGUUCCUUAAAUCAUUCUCAGCAAGUGUAACAUAGUUGACAGGUUGAUCCACUUUGGUAUCGUUAGUGUUAUCUGCAACUUGAAGUCUAUAAUGGUGUGGUUAGAUAAUAAACAAAAAUCAAAAAAGUUCAUUAUCCCCUUCUCAACUCAAUAAAAACUUUUUUUGAAAAUAUUUUAUUAAGACUAAUGAAUAAACUAAUAUCAGUGAACAUCCCCCCAUACUUAAACUACACUGUCCCCAGUGUAAAUUCAGUCGAAGUUAUGUGAAUAACUAAAGCAUAAGGACUCAAUGUAACAAGUUAAGAACGAUAUACCAGAACGAAUUAGAUGUCGAUCGAUGUAAAUGUGUUGACAUCGGUCACAGCAGGUGAUGUUCUGUCGCUCGAUGUCAGCAGUGGUUCGUCGGUCGAUACUCAUAGUAAUCAUCUACUCUGAUCUUUUUUUUUUGUUUUUUCUUACCUGCAAUAAUUAAAAACCAGCAUAAAUACUAAAUUAAUAAAGAUCAAUUAAAUAUUAUCUAAUAGUGGGUUGCCUCCCACUCAGCGCUUUGUUAUAGUCAUUUAGCUUAACUUUGGAGGCAAUUUGGCUAGUAAUGUUGAAAGCUGGAACUCGCUGGGAAACAAGUGUCCAUCUUUUCUUUGCGCUUGUUGAACCAUGUACCAGUGAAGUCUCGCAUUGCUUCAUCUCCUCUGUGCCAUUUGUCCUUCAUUGUUGCAGUUGUUUUCUCUAUCUUCUGCAAUCUAUCUUUAAGACUUUCAAAGUUGAACUGAUGUCUCAUAAGUGUGGCGUAAGUGUCAGCUGAGAUCUCCUCUCCAUGGUUGUGUGUAUCAGACAUGUCUGAUUUCACCUUUGGUACUAGCCUGCCUCGGUUUGUAGCUUCGUCGACCGAUGUUCGUCUGCGACUGUCGGUUGAUUUGUUGUUGCGUCUGUCGAUCGAUGUUGAUGUUUCUGGUCGACGAGCUUUGUAUCACUGUAAGGUCCAUCGGGAAAUAGAUGUCAUCACAUCUCCUAUCAAGCCUUUCUUCUGUAGUUUCCAGAGUUUUAUAGAUCUUUUCUACCAACUGAUCAAUGUCUGCUCUCGUGUAAGAAUCUGGUUGAGACUUCAUCGGAUGUGAGUGGUGUGGUCGUCAUCGAUCGAUGUUGAAUGGUGUAUGUCGGUCGAUGAUGGUGCGGUUGCUUCGGCUGCACGCUGUGUUUGGGUCUUGACUAUGUCUUGCCUCAUCUCCUCCAUGCAUGUGGUUAACCAACUGAUGCUAUCAUUCAGUAGAUAGUAGACACCAUCAAGCUUCAUCUGUAAAUCAUCUUCAUUCUUUUUUUGGGCUCCACAGACUCCAUAGAACAUCUCAUUGAUCUCGUCCUUGGUGUAGAUCUAUGGUACCAACUUGGUCUGUGUGGAUGAGCUAGCAUGUUUUGGAAGACAUAUGUAGCUGUGCUCAUCUCUCGAAGCUCUCUUCAAAAGACUUCUGAUAUCAUCCUUGGAUACUUUGAUGAUGUGUCUGUCUACAUCUCUGGCAUGUCUCUGAUCAUCUCUGUAGACUCCAUACUCAUCUUUUUCUUCCAAGUGGAAUCUCUUAGUUCCAUAACGGUCAUAUGCUCUUUUGCCAAAUUCUGGACGUCUGUCAAUCGAUGAAGGGACGUUAACGUCGAUCGACGGUCGAGUAGGAUGUCUAUACUUCUGCUUGAGGCAAUUGUCUAUGCCACCAGCUGUGUCAUAGAACUCGUUUGUAAUCCUAUGCUGAUGUGCUGGACUGUUGCAUUGUUGCAUGAAGAGUUUAUCUGCUCCAUUAGCCAUCUGAAGAAUGUCUGCAAUGUCUUCUCUGGAUACUUGCAGUGCAUGUCCACCUAUUGCUCUUCCAUAGCCAUCUGGGUCCCUGAAAAUACCAAACUCAUCAUGUGUUAGAUAUUGAUUAUCAUAAUUAGGGUUUUCGCUACAGUGGAUGGUGGUUUCGGACGGAUGUCGAUCGUUGAUGGAUGUUUGUCGUCGAUUGACGGGCGGUUGGCUCUGUCGAAAGUAUGGCUGAAACGUGUUCUUUCCCCAGAAGCUUCUGCUUGGUGUUGAUCUGCUUCAUCACAUCUUUGCAUGUUGAGAAGUUCCUCAUAUGUGAAACCUUCAUGAAGUUCAUCUGCUCCUGGCUCAUGUACUGCUGUUUUGACUGCAUAACUUUCGUGAUGGUGAUCAUUAGCCCAACUGCCAAUCGAGUAAUCCCCUUCUCGUGCACGGUCGACUCCUGUGUCGAUCGAUGGGUAGUAGGUAAUGUCGGUUGAUGCUCGAUUUUGGCUUGUCUGACGAAGAUGAGUGUCGAUCGAUGUUGAGACAAUUAUGUCGAUCGACGGCGAAUUCCCUUUCCAAGAGGAAUGAUGGAGAGGUAGAUGUUCCUCAUCAAGAAUGGCUAUGUACUCUAUAACUCAUUCCUCCUCACAAUCUUCAUCAUACUCCUCUGUAUGCAUGGUGUCUCUGGUGUGUGUUGCCAUGGUGGGAUUGUAGUAGUCGUUCUCCCAAUCGCUUGGACUACUGUCGACCGAUUCUUCCUUCGGACUGUCGAUCGGUUUCUGGUGGGCACUGUCGAUCGAUGUGGUGGUGUGAGUUUCGAUCGACACCGAAUAUCCUGUCUCAUACUCGGCUCCACAGUGGCAUGCUGCGAUGAAAACUGGAUCAUCUAUUUUUCUGGAGGACGUUUUUUGGCUUCUUAACUGGAACAUGGUUGUAGUGGACAUGAGGAUCUAUGAGCGUCAGUUACAACUGGUUGGUUUGUAUGUUGCACACUGCUCCUACUGUUGACAAGAAGGCUCUCCCAAGUAAUAAAGAAGAAUUCCAGUUUAGCUUGAUAUCCAAGACAUGGAAAUCAACUGGAACUAGGGCAUUACAAAUAUGCACCUCUAGGUCUCUUACAAUUCCUCCUGAGCUCAUCUGAGAACAAUCCACAAAAGUGAAUGACUCCUUGGAAGGCUCCACCUACAGAACCAGAUGGUCAUGCAAACCUGUCCAAAUAUCUCAGUCAAUUAAAAAAAUAAAAUGAUAUCAUUUAUAAAAGAGAGACAUGACUGAGAGAAGUGAGAACAUAAAAAGGAAAGAAACUUGAAAAUACUACCUGUGUGUUCAAAAACUUGCUUGAGUAAGAGUCCAUUUGUCUUUUGAUCGAUAAUCCCAAGAUAAAGCAGGAUCCUAUCUAUUUUAACCUUUACGCUACCCUUUUGUUUACUACAUAUGCCACUCAUUUACAAAGGAAAUCACUAGCUUCAUGAAGGGUAAUUCCAUAAACUAAUACUCUACGAUUUAUCACAACUCUAUUGGGUCUUAUGUAGUUUUCUUGUUCGGUAACUGGAUACUGGAUAAAAGCCCACACACUGGAUACUGUACAUGAAUUGUAUCAACACUAUAAAUAAUGUCAUCUCUGUAAAAUCUAAAACAUAGACUGUUUCAUACUAAUGUAAAAGAAUACAAAGAUUCAAGAAACAACUUAUAUUUAAUAUUAAAGUCAUGGUGUUAUUCAUAUAAGAAUGAAAUUCAUAAUCUUUAUAUCUGGAAUUGGUAAAUUAAUCUUCAAAGUUUUAAUAUUUCUGAAAAAAAAUCUUUAGAUUAAAAAUGAAACAAACAGUUAACUAAUCAAAUUAACUCUUUCUGACUAACUAAGUAAAAUAAUAUAGUGGGUUUUUUUAGUUAAUUGCAAUGAAUGUUUUUAUAAGUCUAUUACAUAAGCUGCAUAUUAAUAUAUUAUAACUUGAAAAAGAGCCAGAGAAAGUCUCCAUAAAACAUGACGGCUAGAGUUUCAGGAGGCGAUCUUAGGGUUUUGGAGGAGGAAGGAAAAAAUAUGCUACUAUGGAGGAUAUCAGAGAAAAGAGAAGGCCACCGUGAGAGCCGCCAGAUGCUCCUGGAUCUUGGGUGAGGAAAGUAGUAGGGUGCAAUGAGGGAUGGAUGCUUGUCCCAGAGGAAGUUGUGGAUGAAAAGUUUGUGGAGUCGAGAUUAAGAUUGGAAUUUCCGAAUGGGGAGGAUGGAGAACCGGUGAUAACGAUAGGAGAGGAGGUGUUGACGGCUAUGAAUGGCUUGUGGAAGAGAUAUAUGAUCGUUAGUGUUCUGGGGAGAAACGUCCCGAUCUUGAGUCUGAGUUGAAAGAUAAAGGAGUUAUGGAAGCCUAAAGGGUCGAUGUUUGUUAUGGAUCUUCCCAGACACUUCUUUAUGGUACGCUUUAAGUUGGAGGAGGAGUACAUGGCUGCACUAUCAGGUGGCUCGUGGAGGGCGUUUGGCAGUUACCUUAUGGCACAAGCAUGGUCUCCUGUGUUCGACCCGUUGAAGGAUGAGAUAGUUACGACACCGGUUUGGAUUCGUUUAUCACAUAUUCCAGUGAAUUUCUACCAUAAGACGAUACUGAUGGGAAUAGCCAAAGGUUUAGGGCGGCCGAUCAAAGUAGAUUUGACAACUUUAAAAUUUAAAAGAGCUAGAUAUGCGAGAAUUUGUGUGGAGGUAAAUUUUAAUAAGCCAUUGAAGGAGACAGUGAUGGUGAAUGGUGAGAGGUAUUUUGUUUCAUAUGAAGGAAUCUCUUCUAUUUGUUCGACAUGUGGUAUGUACAUGUCAAACAUUAAUUCUAAUGAUUGAUAUUUAUUUGUUCGACAUGUAGUAUGUACAUGCAAUUCUAAUGAUUGAUAUCUAUGUAAUCAUCCUAGCAAUUCAAUAGUUUUGGCUAAUGCAUCAAAACAUUAAUUAAUCCUAAAUCUAACAAGGGAAACUACUCAGAUAUGAUAAAGCAAAACAUAUCAAUAGUCUUAAUAUAAUGAAUAAAUAGAAUAGAGUAAUAAAUCAAUGGAGUUCCAAUACAAGUUCUGAAGGAGUUUUGGAUCUUCGUUACAAAUCUACUGAAAACCCUAAAACUAUAUGAUGUGAAUAAAGAUAUAAAACAUUGCAUUUUUCCUAAUACAAUGGCAGACACAUAAAUACUAGGUAAAAGGCGGCCAAUGGUAGUCUUAUAAUUAUGUGGAUCUUCUGGGCUUAAGUUGGCCACGAACAAGUCGGCUCGUCUUAGCACGUCACCAUCGAUUGACGACGAGAGGUUUGUGCGGAUCGAUAUUAUACCUGUUUGUGUGGAAGUAUGAGGAAAAGUAACGAGGAACAUGGUAGUAUAUAGUAGGGGAAACUUUAGCGAGAAAGAAAAGCUUAAGAUAUUUUUUUAUUGAGAAGCUUAAAACCAUGUACAAACUGCAAGUAGAGAAAAAAAGAGCAGAUCAAGAAUACAAAUUACAAAGAAAAAGAAGAGAGAAAAUGUGAAUGUCGAAGCAUGUCAACAGUGUUGCACACAACGACAAAAUCAUUUUUUUUUCUGCUACACAAAUCUGUAUUAUUCUUAAUCAUACGUAUAUUAUAAAUUAGAUGCUAGAUAUAUAUAUAUAAAUAUAUUGUGAUACCCAAAGUAAAAUUUUAUUAACAUCUUUAUUUUAUAAUAUAUAUAUUAUAUUUAUUGAGAUACAUGGUUAUUUUUUAUUUUUUUUUUAACAUUUAAGCCACUCAAAUAGUUGGAUUCGUGCAAUGAGCCAUGCAUGCUGCUUGUGUAUCAUAACAUUUUAAUAUUUCCGGUGCGUUGUUACAGCAAAUACAACGUCUUCCGGUACAUCCAAGGAGACGGACGCAUUUUCUGUCGAAUUCUAAACCAUCUGCAUUUCCCACUAUAUAAGAAAAAAUAGGAUUAAAAUUGCGAAUAUAAUUGUAUAUGCAUAGUUGCAAUGCCUGUCAUGAUAAAAUGAUGGAAAUUUGAAUAUAUUUUAUAUAUGCAUCAUUGCAUUAUACAUACAUUGAUGCAGAGGAACAAGAGAAAUCAUGAUGAGACACAUGAUAGCAAGAUGUGAUGAUGACAUAAUCCUAAUACUCUUCUAAUUAAUGAUGUGUUUGUUUUCUAAUUGAUGGUUGUAUUUUCUAGGGACGUACAG